UUUCGGACAAUUCAAUCUGGGCGUUGCUUUCGCUGAGGUAGUAUUGUUUGGAAGA
rnacentral:pre_miRNA from 1 species